rnacentral:rRNA from 1 species
UACGGGGGGGCAAGCGUUGUUCGGAAUUACUGGGCGUAAAGGGCUCGUAGGCGGCCAACUAAGUCGGAUGUGAAAUCCCCAGGCUUAACCUGGGAAUUGCAUCCGAUACUGGAUGGCUUGAAUCCGGGAGAGGGAUGCGGAAUUCCAGGUGUAGCGGUGAAAUGCGUAGAUAUCUGGAGGAACACCGGUGGCGAAGGCGGCGAUC